rnacentral:lncRNA from 1 species
AAUUAGUGAGACCCCCCUGAACAACUUGAAGUACCUGUUUUACCCUUUUAAUUUUAAUUCAAUAUAUACCCUAAUCUUAUCUCUUCUCACUCACACGGUUUCAACCACACCGCCAUUCUCACCCUCUCUCUUCAUCUCUCCCUCUUUCUUACUUUGUCUCGCUGCUCCCCACCGUCCCACCGUCUUGCGCCGCCCGCCGCCACUACUCCCCCACUGCUCCCCCACCAUCUUGCGCCGCCUGUCGUUUAAUCUCUCCCCCUCUCUCUUCAUAUCUCCAUCUCUCUGAUUCUCCCUCGCCAGAUCUGGUGCCGACAGAUCUAGGCGACCCAUCGGCCUCUUGUUGGUGUACAUAUAUCAUCCUCCUUCUCCGGAGCCUCCACCACCGCCCCCGGCGGGGUUCCGUUGUUGCCGCCGUCGAGAUCGCUCCUGCCGUCCUCGUCACGGUUGCUCUUCUGGCCGCUGAUGUUGAGGGUGUCGUUGGUCUCGAUUUGCUCGUCGUUUGAGUUGUGGAUCUGGUGAUGGUGGAAUUACCCAAAUUUAGUCAGGUAAUUUGACAAGCAUCUCUUUUUUUUUUUUUUUGUAAUUUUGGGAUUUUGAUUGAAUGAUUGUGUGGUUAUUUCCCAGAUUUUACUGUUUGUUCUGACAUUAGGUGUUGAUGCUUGAUUUGAUGCAAAGUUUGUUGCCUUUGACUUGCAAUUAAUUACUGUAUAUAUUAUGGGUAUCCAACUGAGAAUUUCUCCUUUAUAUUCCUAUAAGGCUGAUUUUAAUUACGCUGUAAUGGGGAUAAGAGUCGAUUGAUGAUAUAAAUUGAUUUCUUAUAUUGUAGUGGUGACUUAAAUUAUAUAUACAUAACCAUAAUUAUACGUAGUAACAUAUAGUAAUAUAUAGUAACAUAUGCAUAUGACCGUGUAUUUUUAAUCGAUAUUUGUAAUAAAAAUUGUUAUUUAUAGUUAUAUAAAAGAUUUUGCUUUGUUUUCUGUUUUUGUAAUUAAAAUUCUACUCUCCAUAUACAUACCUACAAUUCAUAAUUUAAAUUAUAUGUGUACAUACCUCAUUAAUUUUCACAUUUUACUAUUUGAGUUUAUUUGUCAUCUCAUUAAUUCAGUUUCAAGAACAUACAACAAAUCAAAUGAUUUUCUGUGAUAGAAUUUCACUACAGUAAGUAAAUUUUUUUUUUUCAACCACAUUGUUCUAUUCAUCACCUUUAUAUGUAGAUUCAAUUGUGAACUUUUUUGUGGUGUUGAUGAAUUUUAUUUAUAUACAUAUAUAGUCACAUAUGGUCAGGUACGUGUAGUUAUAUAUAGUCACAUGUGGUCACAUACUUAUAUAUAUAGUCAUAUGUGGUCAUAUACACGUAAUCAUAUAUAGUCACAUAUGGUCAUAUACAUGUAGUCAUAUAUAGUCACGUGUGGUCAUAUACAUGUAGUCAUAUAUAGUCACGUGUGGUCAUAUACAUGUAGUCAUAUAUAGUCACGUGUGGUCAUAUACAUGUAGUCAUAUAUAGUCACGUGUGGUCAUAUACAUGUAGUCAUAUAUAGUCACGUGUGGUAAUAUAUAGUUAUGUAUAAGCUAUGUACCAACAUGUAGUCAUGUAUGAGUUAUGCGAGGAGUAUAUAUGCUGGUGAUGUGUAUGUAUGUCUGUGUCGAUUCAAAUUUGAAGACAAAAUCAUUGUUUUUUUAACUAUUUUUCUUUUACGCCCCCUCUUGGUGUUUGAAUUACUACGUAGUAAGUUUUUGCAGAGUGGACCCCCGCGUUCGUCGUUCAAAAUAAGUUGUACUCGUGUUGAAAAGUGGGAUUUCAAUCAAAUUUAGUCGUAUAGAUAACAGACAUAUAACUAUAGAUGACUAUAGUCAUGUAUAGUUCCAUAUGGUAAUUUAUACUUAUAUACAAGUUAUGCGGUUGUUCUGAUGUAUAGUGAUUUUGAUGAUUGUGUUUUUUUUUUUUUGGUACUAAUAGCUUU